GGGCGCUUGGUCUAGGGGUAUGAUUUUCGCUUCGCACUAUCCCUCCUGUUCCUCACAGGAUUCGUGCGCCUAUGUGAAAGGUCGUGGGUUCAAUUCCCACAGCGUCCA